rnacentral:rRNA from 1 species
AACGAACGCUGGCGGCAGGCUUAACACAUGCAAGUCGAACGCAUCCUUCGGGGUGAGUGGCAGACGGGUGAGUAACGCGUGGGAACGUGCCCUUCAGUUCGGGAUAACCCAGGGAAACUUGGGCUAAUACCGGAUACGUGCGAGAGCAGAAAGAUUUAUCGCUGAAGGAUCGGCGCGCGUCUGAUUAGCUAGUUGGUGGGGUAAUGGCGCAACAAGGCGACGAUCAGGAGCUGGUCUGAGAGGAUGAUCAGCCACAAUGGGACUGGAACACGGCCCAAACUUCUACGGGAGGCAGCAGUGGGGAAUAUUGGACAAUGGGCGCAAGCCUGAUCCAGCCAUGCCGCGUGAGUGAUGAAGGCCUUAGGGUUGUAAAGCUCUAUAGUCCGGGACGAUAAUGACGGUACCGGAAGAAGAAGCCCCGGAUAACUCCGUGCCAGCCGCCGCGGUAA